rnacentral:tRNA from 1 species
ACGUUAUUAGUAUAAACAUAAUUACAUCUAACUUCCAAUUAGAAAACCGUGGUAACUUUAAUCCACGAUAACGUA